rnacentral:rRNA from 1 species
CAGCCGCCACGGGAAUACGAAGGGGGCUAGCGUUGCUCGGAAUGACUGGGCAUAAAGGGCGCGUAGGCGGCGAUCAAAGUCAGGCGUGAAAUUCCUGGGCUCAACCUGGGGGCUGCGCUUGAUACUUGGUUGCUUGAGUGGGGAAGAGGGUCGUGGAAUUCCCAGUGUAGAGGUGAAAUUCGUAGAUAUUGGGAAGAACACCGGUGGCGAAGGCGGCGACCUGGUCCUUGACUGACGCUGAGGCGCGAAAGCGUGGGGAGCAAACAGGAUUAGAUACCCCGGUAGUCCCUGUCUCUUAUAC